rnacentral:rRNA from 1 species
CCAGACUCCUACGGGAGGCAGCAGUGGGGAAUAUUGCACAAUGGGCAGAAGCCUGAUGCAGCAACGCCGCGUGCGGGAUGACGGCCUUCGGGUUGUAAACCGCUUUCGCCUGUGACGAAGCGUGAGUGACGGUAAUGGGUAAAGAAGCACCGGCUAACUACGUGCCAGCAGCCGCGGUGAUACGUAGGGUGCGAGCGUUGUCCGGAUUUAUUGGGCGUAAAGGGCUCGUAGGUGGUUGAUCGCGUCGGAAGUGUAAUCUUGGGGCUUAACCCUGAGCGUGCUUUCGAUACGGGUUGACUUGAGGAAGGUAGGGGAGAAUGGAAUUCCUGGUGGAGCGGUGGAAUGCGCAGAUAUCAGGAGGAACACCAGUGGCGAAGGCGGUUCUCUGGGCCUUUCCUGACGCUGAGGAGCGAAAGCGUGGGGAGCGAACAGGCUUAGAUACCCUGGUAGUCCACGCUGUAAACGGUGGGUACUAGGUGUGGGGUCCAUUCCACGGGUUCCGUGCCGUAGCUAACGCUUUAAGUACCCCGCCUGGGGAGUACGGCCGCAAGGCUAAAACUCAAAGGAAUUGACGGGGGCCCGCACAAG